UGGGGAAUUUUGCACAAUGGGCGGAAGCCUGAUGCAGCGACGCCGUGUGGGGGAUGAAGGCCUUCGGGUUGUAAACUCCUUUCGUCAGGGACGAAGUUUUUUGACGGUACCUGGAUAAGAAGCACCGGCUAACUACGUGCCAGCAGCCGCGGUAAUACGUAGGGUGCGAGCGUUGUCCGGAUUUACUGGGCGUAAAGGGCUCGUAGGUGGUGUGUCGCGUCGUCUGUGUAAUCCAGGGGCUUAACUUUUGGUUGGCAGGCGAUACGGGCAUUGCUUGAGUGCUGUAGGGGAGACUGGAAUUCCUGGUGUAGCGGUGAAAUGCGCAGAUAUCAGGAGGAACACCGAUGGCGAAGGCAGGUCUCUGGGCAGUUACUGACGCUGAGGAGCGAGAGCAUGGGUAGCGAACAGGAUUAGAUACCCUGGUA
rnacentral:rRNA from 1 species